rnacentral:rRNA from 1 species
AGAAGGUGAUCCUGGCUCAGGAUGAACGCUGGCGGCGUGCCUAAUACAUGCAAGUCGAGCGAAUGGAUUGAGAGCUUGCUCUCAAGAAGUUAGCGGCGGACGGGUGAGUAACACGUGGGUAACCUGCCCAUAAGACUGGGAUAACUCCGGGAAACCGGGGCUAAUACCGGAUAAUAUUUUGAACUGCAUGGUUCGAAAUUGAAAGGCGGCUUCGGCUGUCACUUAUGGAUGGACCCGCGUCGCAUUAGCUAGUUGGUGAGGUAACGGCUCACCAAGGCAACGAUGCGUAGCCGACCUGAGAGGGUGAUCGGCCACACUGGGACUGAGACACGGCCCAGACUCCUACGGGAGGCAGCAGUAGGGAAUCUUCCGCAAUGGACGAAAGUCUGACGGAGCAACGCCGCGUGAGUGAUGAAGGCUUUCGGGUCGUAAAACUCUGUUGUUAGGGAAGAACAAGUGCUAGUUGAAUAAGCUGGCACCUUGACGGUACCUAACCAGAAAGCCACGGCUAACUACGUGC